AUUGAACGCUGGCGGAAUGCUUUACACAUGCAAGUCGAGCGGCAGCGCGGGGGCAACCCUGGCGGCGAGCGGCGAACGGGUGAGUAACACAUCGGAACGUACCCAGUGGUGGGGGAUAGCCCGGCGAAAGCCGGAUUAAUACCGCAUACGACCUGAGGGGGAAAGUGGGGGACCGCAAGGCCUCACGCCGUUGGAGCGGCCGAUGUUCGAUUAGCUAGUUGGUAGGGUAAAGGCCUACCAAGGCGACGAUCGAUAGCUGGUCUGAGAGGACGACCAGCCACACUGGAACUGAGACACGGUCCAGACUCCUACGGGAGGCAGCAGUGGGGAAUUUUGGACAAUGGGGGGCAACCCUGAUCCAGCCAUUCCGCGUGAGUGAAGAAGGCCUUCGGGUUGU
rnacentral:rRNA from 1 species